GAAUCCUCCCUGUCCAAUCCCCGAUGCCAGCAUCUCCCACCUCGGGAUCCAUCUCCACCCAAUACAACCACCGUCUCCAUUUCCGUGCCCGCCCAACCACCACAAAGCCGAAGCCUCCACCUUCCCUGAUCCACCCGUCGAUCCAGCCCCAUCGGGCUCCUCUGCUCGCAGCUCCUCGCGACCGCACGCCGCUGAGCAUCAGCAGCAGUCCUGAGCGCCACGUCCCCUCGUCAUGUACCUCGAUCCAGGAUGGAUCUGGAGCAGCGUUGACUUUCGCUCGUCGCCGGUGGCCUCAACCACCAGGACGCCGCCGCCGGACCAAUCGCUGACAGGGACCCCGCCAUGGAUCUCCGGCCGACGUCCGAAGCCUUGCCGCCGAGCCCGCCUAGAUCGGGCCUGGAUAGAUCACCGGCGACCAAACCCCGCCUUGCUUCCGCUGUCAGCUGCCCGUUCCUCGUCGAGAGCUCUCUUCGUGCAGCGAUGGAGGUUCCCAGCCCCUCCUCUGCUUCGUUCUACGGGGAGGAUGAGGCGCCCCUGCCUCUCGUGGCCCGAGCCCUAACCCUCUGCCUCGCUCGCCCGUUCCAGCGAUGCGUUGACCUCCAGAGUCGACAGCACCUAGUCCAGCAGCCUCCUAGGCCCAGCUUUGCCUCUGCGGUCCUCUCCCUCCUCUAGCAGGCCUUGGCCCAGUGUGAGCCCCACAGCCCCCCUCUCGGUUGGGCCAGCAGAGCUUUCAGAUUCGGCCCGCUUAACGUUUUUUUCCUGGACGAAUUUAAUCAUUUUUUCCAGAGAUUACAGUUUUACAGAUUAGCCCCUAAGCUUCGUGCAUAUUUUAACUCACAAACUAAGCAACACAUGGAAAAACUUAAUAUAUGAAACUUUCUUAGAAUUUUGUGUAGAUUAAUAGUUUGCAACUUUCAUCUAUGUUUAAAAUGAUUAAAUCGUUGUUUGUUUAAAUUUGCCCCUAUGCCAUGUUAAAAUGAUUUAAUUCAUAACUAAAUAACCGUAGCUCGGUUUUAAAUAAUCUUUAUAUGUAAAUGGGGUAGAAAAAUGCCUAGUUCAACAUGGUGGCAUCACUUUGCAUGUUUAACAACUAUAAAAUAUGGUUUAGGGCAGAACAGUACCAAACAUAAAAUAUGUAUAUGGGGAUUUACCGGAAUUGUUGUUCGUUGUUUCCGGCCUCACUUAAACUUGACUAGAUAGGUAGUUUUACUUUGCUUCACCCCCUUGCCAUGUUAAUCGACAUUUAGUAUUGUUGAGUACAUAAAAAAGAUCGAACUAAAUAAGUCAUGUGGUGUUUCGUCAAUAUGCAACGGAGUUGCAUGUUGAGCUCCCCUUAAGUUGUAGGAUUGUUUGUGCAUUUUGCCAUGCCAUGCUUCAUUAAACCGGACAUACAUCAUACUUGAUUGUGCAUCAUGCCAUGAUUAUGUGAUGGUUGUUUAGUAUGUUGUUUGCUUCCUUUCUGGUGUUGCUUCUUCGGGUUAGUUCCGAUAACGUCGCGUUUGUGAGGACCCAUUCGACUAUGACCGUUUGUCUUCUUCAUGGACUCGUUCUUCUUCCUUGCGGGAUCUCAGGCAAGAUGACCAUACCCUCGAAAUCACUUCUAUCUUUGCUUGCUAGUUGCUCGCUCUUUUGCUAUGCCUAUGCUGCGAUACCUACCACUUGCUUAUCAUGCCUCCAAUAUUGUUAAGCCAAGCCUCUAACCCACCUUGUCCUAGCAAACCAUUGUUUGGCUAUGUUACCGCUUGCUCAGCCCCUCUUAUAGCGUUUCUAGUUGCAGGUGAAGAUUGGAGUUUGUUCCUUGUUGGAACAUUGAUAUUUGUUGGGAUAUCACAAUAUCACUUAUUUAAUUAAUGCAUCUAUAUACUUGGUAAAGGGUGGAAGGCUCGGCCUUAUGCCUGGUGUUUUGUUCCACUCUUGCCGCCAUAGUUUCCGUCAUAUCGGUGUUAUGUUCCCGGAUUUUGCGUUCCUUACACGGUUGGGUUAUAAUGGGAACCCCUUGACAGUUCGCUUUGAAUAAAACUCCUCCAGCAAGGCCCAACCUUGGUUUUACCAUUCGCCACCUAGCCUUUUUCCCUUGGGAGUCGCACAUCCCGAGGGUCAUCUUUAUUUUAACCGCCUCGGGCCAGUGCAUGUCUAUGUGUUGGUCCGAACCGGGCAGCCUGCAGGGCCACCUCGGGGAAACUCGAGGGUUGGUUUUAUUCGUAGCUUGACCUAUCUGGUGUUGCCCUAAGAAUGAGAUAUGUGCAGCUCCUAUCGGGAUGUCGGCGCAUCGGGCGGUCUUGCUGGACUUGUUUUACCAUUGUCAAGGAUGUCUUGUAACCGGGAUUCCGAGUCUGAUCGGAUUGUCUUGGGAGAAGGAAUAUCCUUCGUUGACCGUGAGAGCUUGUGAUGGGCUAAGUUGGGACACCCCUGCAGGGUUUUGAACUUUCGAAAGCCGUGCCCGCGGUUAUGGGCAGAUGGGAAUUUGUUAAUGUCCGGUUGUAGAAAACCUGAAAGUUAUCUUAAUUAAAAUGCAUCAACCGCGUGUGUAGCCAUGAUGGUCUCUUCUCGGCGGGGUCCGGGAAGUGAACACGGUGUUGGAGUUAUGUUCAACGUAGGUUGUGCUAGGAUCACUUCUUGAUCAUAGUUUUCUCGAUCAUGCUUUUCCUUCUCUUCUCGCUCUCAUUUGUGUAUGUUAGCCACCAUAUAUGCUAGUCACUUGCUGCAGCUCCACCUCAUACCUUUUGUCCUACCUAUAAGCUUAAAUAGUCUUGAUCGCGAGGGUGUGAGAUUGCUGAGUCCCCGUGACUCACAGAUACUUCCAAAAACCAGUUUGCAGAUGCCGAUGAAACUGUGUAGGUGAUGCAACCGAGCUCAAGGAGGAUCUCGAUGAAGACCUUGUUCGUUGUGUUGUUUCGUUCCAGUUCAUCAGUAGUGGAGCCCAGUUGGGACGAGCGGGGAUCUGUGUAGCAUUUGGGGUAGUCUUCUUUUAUUUUGGUUCCAUAGUCGGACUUUGAUUGUAUCUGGUUGAUGUAAUGCUUUAUUCAUGUAUUAUGUGAAGUGGCGAUUGUAAGCCAACUAUCUAUCUCUUUCCCUUUAUGUAUUACAUGGGUUGUUUGCGAAGAUUACCUCACUUGCGACAUUGCUUUCAAUGCGGUUAUGCCUCUAAGUCGUUGAGGGAGCCCUGGAUUAGGGGGUCUCUGGACAGCCGGACUAUCUCCAUUGGUCGGACUGUUAGACUAUGCAGAUACAAGAUUGAAGACUUCGUCUCGUGUCCGGAUGGGACUCUACUUGGCGUGGAAGGCAAGCUAGGCAAUACGGAUAUGGAUAUCUCCUCCUUUGUAAACGACCUUGUGUAACCCUAACCCUCUCCGGUGUCUAUAUAAACCGAGGGGUUUUAGUCCGUAGGACAACAACCACAACAUACAAUCAUACCAUAGGCUAGCUUCUAGGGUUUAGCCUCUUUGAUCUCGUGGUAGAUCUACUCUUGUACUACCCAUAUCAUCAAUAUCAAUCAAGUAGGACGUAGGGUUUUACCUCCAUCAAGAGGGCCCAAACC
rnacentral:rRNA from 1 species